AAUUUCGAAGAAGUGCUAAUACCGCGUAAGAUAGUAGUGGGACAUCCCACAGCUAUUAAACUUUCGGGGAUAGAAGAUGGGCAUGCGUCUGAUUAGCUAGUUGGCGGGGUAACGGCCCACCAAGGCGACGAUCAGUAGGGGAACUGAGAGGUUGAUCCCCCCACACUGGCACUGAGAUACGGGCCAGACUCCGUACGGGAGGCAGCAGUAGGGAAUAUUGGGCAAUGGACGGAAGUCUGACCCAGCCACGCCGCGUGCAGGAGGAAGGCGCUCUGCGUUGUAAACUGCUUUAGCAGGGGAAGAAAAGACUCAUGCGUGAGGAAUUGACGGUACCCUGAGAAUAAGCACCGGCUAACUACGUGCCAGCAGCCGCGGUAAUACGUAGGGUGCAAGCGUUGUCCGGAUUUUAUUGGGUUUAAAGGGUGCGUAGGCGGUCUAUUAAGUCAGUGUUUAAAUUUUGCAGCUUAACUGUAGGUAUGGCAUUGAUACUGGUGGACUUGAAUAUCAUGGAGGUAGCUAGAAUUUAU
rnacentral:rRNA from 1 species